CCAAAUAAUUCCUACAAACUCUUUUUUGUACAAGAUAAAGAAGAAAGAUUCUAGUUCAUGUACUUUUUGUAAACUUGAUGACGAAACUAUUGUACAUUUUUUCUAUGAUUGUCCAAUAACAUAUCAAUUUUGGUCAUCAUUAUUACAGCAAAUAAGAUUGUAUAGCAGGGAUUUUGCCAUCAGUAAAAAGCAGAUAUUCCUUGGUUUCUAUUCAGAAAGCUUAUUCAUGAAUCUUUUAUUUAUAGUAGCAAAAAAUUAUAUAUAUAAAUGUAAGUUUAAGGAACUUACUCCUAAUAUUUUUGGUUUUAAAAAUAGAAUAAAACAAUAUCAGUCAUAUGAAUAUUAUAUUGCAAAGAAAAAUAAUAAUGUUGAUGUAUAUGAAAAAUUUUGGACCCCAUUACAAUAUAUAUUUCCACCAUAGAGUAUGAUAUUAAUCUGUGAGCAAAUUUUUUGAUUAGAUUUUGUUUAUUCUUUGAUGCAUAUAAUUGUAAACAAUAAUUAUGUACAUAAUUAAGUAAUGUAUGUGUGUAUGUAAGUAAGAAUUGUAUGUGUGUAUGAGAGACUGAGAGAAAGUGAAAGUGAAUGCAAGUGGUUCUCAUUUCUUUUUUCUAUUUACCUCUUUACAUUGGUAUUUCCUGAUAUUUAUUUAUAUAUUCAUAAAUUUUUACCCUUUCCGUUUUUUUUUUUUUUGUUGGGGGGGGGGGCUUUCUUAUUUCUUAAUUACUUUCAGUGUGUUUUAAAGC
rnacentral:lncRNA from 1 species